UACGGGGGGUGCAAGCGUUAUCCGGAUUUACUGGGCUUAAAGGGUGCGUAGGUGGGUAAGUAAGUCAGUGGUGAAAUCUUCGAGCUUAACUCGGAAACUGCCAUUGAUACUAUUUAUCUUGAAUACUUUGGAGGUAAGCGGAAUAUGUCAUGUAGCGGUGAAAUGCUUAGAUAUGACAUAGAACACCAAUUGCGAAGGCAGCUUACUACACAGUUAUUGACACUGAGGCACGAAAGCGUGGGGAGCAAACAGG
rnacentral:rRNA from 1 species